CUUCGACUAAGGUUCGAUUCGAGCGAAAGCGAGAAAGCGUUGCCGCAGGCAACGACCCGAAGGGCGAAGCGCGCAGCGCUGAGUCAUCCUUCCCCCACCACCA
rnacentral:sRNA from 3 species